rnacentral:lncRNA from 1 species
GGUGGUUGAGAAGAUUGCGGAUGGUCGUAUCAGGGAGAUCACAUUCCACCAAUGCAUCGAUAUCUUGUAUCACCUCACAUUUUGCCGCCGGGAAGGUUUGGAUCUUUGACCAUAUUUGAAUGAGAAGAGCUUCUCCCUCCAUGUUGUUGUUGUUGUAGGCGGUGGUUUGCGGUCUCUGGAGACUACUAUAGUAAGGGUGAAGGAUGUCGGCGAGGAGUUCGUCGAUGAGUUCGAAGAGGAGUUUACGGUUGCACCGGUGUUUUAGCUGGCCUUUGGGGUGAUGUGACCAUGUGGAGUUGAGCUCGAGCUGGUGGAAGAUAAUGGGGUCCAGUGGAUGGUACGGGGAAUUCCAUCUCACAGAAACUAGACGGGAUGUCCGAGAACGAAUUCCGGCCUUUUCCAGCACUCGUUUUACAUACUGCAGUUCCUCCGGCACCGGUGAUGUCUUUGGUCGAUGUGUCUGAAUCGCUGGUUUGUUAUCUUUCUUGACAGCAACAUUGGGUGGUUUUAGUGGUGGUAUAUUAAUCAAUUUGCCGAUCGACCUUUUCGGUGGACGCGGCGGCGAUGUUGAGGAGGAUUUCGAAGGGAUGAAGAAAGGAUUUUUUGUCGAAGAAUCCGCCGGAGGUUUCUUAAGCCUCUCGUUGAAUCUAUCAGAGCUUACUUUCUUGCAUUUUGGUGACGGUUUCGGUGUUGUUUUGAUUUUUGACGUCAGUACUUCUGGUACUUGUUGAAUUGCUCGGGGAGAGCACACCGUCGACGGUGGUGUCUGAUUUUGUCUGCUCGUCGAUGAUCGUGCCUUUUCGAUUCUUCUGUUGACAACACUAUUCUUCAUCUGCCUCACGAUCUCCCUAGCAUACCGACUGGGACUGUUAGUCUGUUCUUCCACCACGUGACGCAUCUUCAUCGGCAACAGCAACGACGGCGAGGAGGACGAGUAGUCCAGAAACGCACUCUUCAGCUCUUGCAUUGCCGAAGCCGACAAGUUCCCUCUAACAUUGACAUUGACAUUCUCCUUAUUGAUACAGGAAUUGCCAGGGACCGAGUGCCGAGGAUCGGAAUCUCCGGACCGCCGUGCAGACGAUAUUCUCGGAGUCUCCGGCAAAGAUCUCGUCCCCCGGCGAGUGUCGUCGCAGACCAUCAUCAUAUUAGAAUUUCUCGGUUGAAGUGGAUGACGUGGCGGUGGUGUCUGUGACGUCAUUUUCUGCUGUUCCUUCUUUCUUCUGCUAUGGUAAUAGUAUUGUUUCUUCUUAGAUACCAACGCCUUAUCGUCGGCGUUUGAGUACGUUCUCGGACUACGAAAAUCAUCACCAUUCGAAACGACGUCCAAUCCCAUCAACUUCGCCACUACAUUCGCCGUACUACUCCGAGCACUCGAAACUUGCUGCGAAUUCUCCUCAUCCUCCACACACGCCGCCGCCUUCCUCCUCGGAAUAACUUGGAUUCCAAACUGCAUUCAAAAAAGCAAUUAAUCACGGGAACAGCUAACUAGCUAACCCCACAGAAAAAGAAGAAGAAGAAGACGCACAGGAAUCUCAUAGUCAUCAGAAGCGUCCAAUAUUACAGAAGCAGACGACGCGUUGGUGGACACAUCAAAUUCCAGACUAUUCCUUGGCGCCUCCACGCCUUUCGCCAUGUCGGUGAUCUUCGGAGGAGUUACGACGAUCCCAUCACUCGACGCUCUGGUUGCGAAGAGUAGUUGGUGAAGAUCGAAGAAGUGGAACACACCACUCAUGCACCCUGCAACAUGUGUUGUCUGCUGUUUCUCCACUCCAGUGCCGGCGCCGGUGCCGGACUUUCUGAAUGUCUUGGUCCAGUUCCACUCCUUGCCCAUGAGGUACGGCCGGAGGAGGAGGAAGAGAAGUGGAAUGUCGGUAAUGAUAUGGGUUUGAGAGGGGGAGAGAAGGAUGGUUGUUAUUAUGGGGAAUUGAAAUCAAAGAUGAGAGGGAGAGAAGGAUGACGAAAUGCAUACGCCCGUUGGAAAGAUAUACAGAUCUACAGCAAAAACCCCCUAUAUUUUUGAAAUAUUCCUUUUCAGUCCAAAUCGAAUAUUCGUAUCAAAAAUAAUUAUUAAAAUUUUAAACUCCUCAAUCCUCAUAAAUGAUAAAUCGAUAAAAUCAUUAAUUCAAAAAGUAAAAAACACACCUAACAGAGUAAAAAAAAACAGUAAAAAAAUCAAAAUCUCUGUAAAUUAAUUUUCUAAAUUAUGGUAAAAGAUUCUCUUUUUAUACCAAUUAUAUUAAACUUUUGAAUUUUUUUUUAGGUCUUUUUUGGAAAAGGUUGAAGAGGGUUGAAAAGUGUGAGGAACAACUGAGCAACUGAAUAAGGGAUUUGUAAUUUUUUUCUUUUGUUUUGUGAAUGACCAAAGUGUACAAUACAAAAGAAAGGGGUGGGAAUUCAAAAAUGAUUUGUAUGUUUCGUCUUGGGAACAUCACAUUGUGGAUAGAAGCAUGGAGAUCGUGGUAACAAGGCAGAAUUUGAUUCAGGAAACAUGUGGUUUCUGCAACAAAAUGUCAGUAUAUUUGUCAGCAGACAGAGAGUUUUAAGUUUAAAAUUUUGUUUAUUUUUAACUGUUCUGUUAAUUUUUAUAAACUUUAUUCCCAGAUCCAAAGAUUGCUGACAAUUUUGACUGGGUUUAAUCAAAAUUACAAUUUAAAAAAAAGACUGGGUUUAAGUGAUGAGAUUAGAAGUUAGAAAAAAAGACCAUGAUUGAAAUGCAGAAGGGCUUUAAAAAAAUUGCAGUAUUUUCUUACACAAUUUCAUUCAAUAACACCAAUGAAUG